GGGAAGGCCCCGUCUCGCCGGAGCGAGACGGGGCCUUCUG
rnacentral:sRNA from 1 species